AGUGGGGAAUAUUGGACAAUGGGGGCAACCCUGAUCCAGCCAUGCCGCGUGUGUGAAGAAGGCCUUUUGGUUGUAAAGCACUUUAAGCAGUGAAGAAGACCUAACGGUUAAUACCCGUUAGCGAUGACAUUAGCUGCAGAAUAAGCACCGGCUAACUCUGUGCCAGCAGCCGCGGUAAUACAGAGGGUGCAAGCGUUAAUCGGAAUUACUGGGCGUAAAGCGAGCGUAGGUGGCUUGAUAAGUCAGAUGUGAAAUCCCCGGGCUUAACCUGGGAACUGCAUCUGAUACUGUCAGGCUAGAAUAGGUGAGAGGAAGGUAGAAUUCCAGGUGUAGCGGUGAAAUGCGUAGAGAUCUGGAGGAAUACCGAUGGCGAAGGCAGCCUUCUGGCAUCAUAUUGACACUGAGGUUCGAAAGCGUGGGUAGCAAA
rnacentral:rRNA from 1 species